GCUUAGUGGCGAACGGGUGAGUAACACGUAGGCGACCUGCCCAAAAGAGGGGGAUAACACUUGGAAACAGGUGCUAAUACCGCAUAACCAUGAACACCGCAUGAUGUUCAUGUAAAAGACGGCUUUUGCUGUCACUUUUGGAUGGGCCUGCGGCGUAUUAACUUGUUGGUGGGGUAACGGCCUACCAAGGUGAUGAUACGUAGCCGAACUGAGAGGUUGAUCGGCCACAUUGGGACUGAGACACGGCCCAAACUCCUACGGGAGGCAGCAGUAGGGAAUCUUCCACAAUGGACGCAAGUCUGAUGGAGCAACGCCGCGUGAAUGAAGAAGGCCUUCGGGUCGUAAAAUUCUGUUGUCAGAGAAGAACGUGCGUGAGAGUAACUGUUCACGUAUUGACGGUAUCUGACCAGAAAGCCACGGCUAACUACGUGCCAGCAGCCGCGGUAAUACGUAGGUGGCGAGCGUUGUCCGGAUUUAUUGGGCGUAAAGGGAACGCAGGCGGUCUUUUAAGUCUGAUGUGAAAGCCUUCGGCUUAACCGAAGUAGUGCAUUGGAAACUGGAAGACUUGAGUGCAGAAGAGGAGAGUGGAACUCCAUGUGUAGCGGUGAAAUGCGUAGAUAUAUGGAAGAACACCAGUGGCGAAAGCGGCUCUCUGGUCUGUAACUGACGCUGAGGUUCGAAAGCGUGGGUAGCAAACAGGAUUAGAUACCCUGGUAGUCCAUUCCGUAAACGAUGAGUUUUAAGUGUUGGAGGG
rnacentral:rRNA from 1 species